GAAAUGCGAUAAGUAAUGUGAAUUGCAGAAUUCAGUGAAUCAUCGAAUCUUUGAACGCACCUUGCGCCCUUUGGCUAUUCCGAAGGGCAUGCCUGUUUGAGUAUCAUGAACACCUCAACUCUCAUGGGUCUGCCAUGAUGAGCUUGGACUUUGGGGGUCUUGCCGGCCUAAACGUCGGCUCCUCUCAAAUGAAUUAGCUUGCCGGUGUUUGGCGGCAUCACAGGUGUGAUAAAUAUCUACGCUUGUGGUUUUCCGCCAGGUAACCUUCAGUGAUGGAGGUUCGCUGGAGCUCACAAAUGUCUCUCCUCAGGGAGGGACAGCUUUAUGAACGUUUGAUCUCAAAUCAGGUAGGACUACCCGCUGAACUUAA
rnacentral:misc_RNA from 1 species